GUUUUGUCCUCGGAGACCUCUGAUCACCAGGACGCACCAGGACGCACGACUCCACCUGACUGCGAAGACAAUCUGCAGCCAAUGAGCAGAUAGGCUGAUUCCACAUGCCGAUGGAUAUCAAUCAGGCAGUAGUGUGCUGGACCUCGAGGCUCGACACAACUGGAGUAGACCUGUAUGGACCUCAGGAAGCAGGCGCAGUUGUGUGUGCAGCAGUCAAAAGAAUAAAGUCGUCUUGUUCAACAA